rnacentral:rRNA from 1 species
GACGAACGCUGGCGGCGUGCCUAAUACAUGCAAGUCGAACGCAGUGGGGACGGGUGAGUACCACGUGGGUAACCUCCCAUCAGAGGGGAUAACACUUGGAAACAGGUGCUAAACCGCUACUGAUGGAUGGACCCGCGGUGCAUUAGCAAGUUGGUGAGGUAACGGCUCACCAAGGCCACGAUGCCUAGCUGGCCUGAGAGGGUGAUCGGCCACACUGGAACUGAGACACGGCCCAGACUCCUACGGGAGGCAGCAGUAGGGAAUAUUUGACAAUGGACGAAAGUCUGACCGAGCCACGCCGCGUGAGUGAAGAAGGUUUUCGGAUCGUAAAGCACUGUUAUUGGAGAAGCGGGAUCUAACCAGAAAGCCACGGCUAACUACGUGCCAGCAGCCGCGGUAAUUC